rnacentral:rRNA from 1 species
UACGAGGGGGGCGAGCGUUGUUCGGAAUUAUUGGGCGUAAAGGGUGCGUAGGCGGUUUGGUAAGUCUGAUGUGAAAUCUAUGGGCUCAACUCAUAGUCUGCAUCGGAAACUGCCGGGCUUGAGUGUGGGAGAGGUGAGUGGAAAUUCCUGGUGUAGCGGUGAAAUGCGUAGAUAUCAGGAGGAACACCUGUGGCGAAAGCGGCUCACUGGACCAUAAACUGACGCUGAUGCACGAAAGCUAGGGGAGCAAACAGG